GGUAAAUCAGGCGCACCUUGGCACCACCUUACACAUUGCACCCCAGCCCCAACUCCUUCCAGAACACUGACUGAAGUCAGAGCUGAUUUGAACAGCCUAAAUUUGAUUCCAAAUGAAGAAAUUCCUGACUCAGGUGAUGGGGCAUCAAACCCCUCUAACCCUGAUAAAGGAACCUCGCCCAGUUAAAGGGAUAUUUCUCUCUCCCUGGGCAAGGCUAGGAAUAUCUGAACCACUGUUUGUGAUAUACCUACUGAUAUUUGGAGUAACCCUAGGCACUCUCACAUGGUUAAUAGAACAACUAUCACACCCUACCACAUCACGUACACUUACCCAGUCCCCUAUCCCUGACACCGUCCCUAACAUCACUCACUCCAAUCACUCCCGUCCCAAACACAGAAUUACACCUACAGACCAACAAUGCACUCCAUACAAGGUUAGAAGCACCACCUUAUUGCCUAGUUUCGCUGCAUAAUAGAGGGAGUUUUUGUUUUCGUCAUCUCCUCCUUCUCGGUUCUACUAUAGUUUUCACGUCUUAAAAGAUGUGAAGAGGGGGAUUUGUCAUAUAUACAUAUACUCAUACACAUAGCUCAUAUAUUAUACAGCGCCAAACUUAUCCGCUUGACUCAAGUCAUUGCACGUAUCCCUGCCCAAACAGGAACGAACACAUAUACCCAACCAUAAAACUGCCCCUCUCAUUUCCCCCUACCUCACGAUCCCCUGACACACAAAUACCUUCUUGCAUAAACACACACACUUCAUCCCCCCUCUACUGGUCGGGUGCCCAGAGCAGAAGACUCUGCUGUGCACCAAUGGGGCUCCUGCUCUGGCUAGAGCAGGUCCGCCUCCAACCCUUCGGGACCAUUCAGAAGGCGACACGACAAGACUCUACCUACAUUAUUCUAUGUAUAAAAACUGCUGUAACCUUUGUCUAAGCCCCUUUUUCAGCUAACUCCUUUUGAGCUAUAUGAAUCAGGUCCGUGCACGUUAAACUGCUAGGACAAGAUAUCUUUGACCUUAAUAAACUGCCUUUUUGCUAUACUUGAUUCCACUCUGUCCAGCGUCCAUGAUUUGGUCUCACUCUCCUGUAAGUUAAUCAUCAACACUAGCUAACAGUAAACUGACAGGAAAAGGCUCUAACAGGACGGAUUCAUGCAGAUGCUACAUGCUACGAUGUGAAUGUGUGGACCUAGGGGUUGUGCCAAAAAUCCAGAUGGAUCCAAGUCCAGAACAGACUAUGGGAGGUGCACAGUACUACAUAGAGCCAUGACUACAUGGAACUCUAUCCACAUCAAGUAACUCAUGCCAGCAGUAAAAUUAGGUUUAAAAAACAGAGAGAAAUACACCUUAUGGAACAGUGGGGACUGUGAAGCAACACAAACAUAAACACAUGCAUACAAACACACAAUAGCAUACACACAUGUACACAUGGAUUGUUUUGUUAUAGAUAAUUGGUAGUAGAGUAGAGACCUGAGGGCACACACUUAAUAUGUUGUGAAAUCUGUUAUGGAUGUAUUGUAAGGUUUUUAAAAUGUAUGACUGCCGUAAUGCUGCUGCACUCCAGGAACUGCCUUAGCAGUAGCUAAUGGGGAUCCAUAAUAAAUACAAAUACAUGAUGUCUUCUAUUACCAACCACCCUCCAACUUUUCAGGACAUCAUCUACAACCA